CGCUGGUGGCCGACGGCGCCGCGCCGAUUUCGGGCGUCGGCGCGGGGAGCGCCGUUCCCGGACUGGCGACGGGCGCC
rnacentral:tRNA from 1 species